CCGGGUCACAUAGUGUGGGGCCCCACUCUCUUAGUCUAAUUAGCGGAACCAAAGCGUACAAGUCCGGAAGGCGGAGGGAUGGAAAUGGAGAGAACAGGGCGCCAUGUUGGACAAGGGAAAGAGUGACCUAAGGAAACAACAAACGCAGAGCAGCAUUCCAGGGAACGGUAAACUGGGGAUUUGGAACAUCACCCUGCCUAGUUCCUGUAUCCAUACAGUGACCUGAGGGAACAGCAAAAGUGAAGCAGCAGACCAGGGAACAGUCAGCUGGGGACUGGGAGCAUCAGCCUACCUACAGGUAAAAUCUGUACAGAUAAAAUUCCAUAGUGCACCCUCCAAAAGAUUGAAUGCAAGUAAACCUUUUAAACAAAGAAAUGCCUGGUUCCUAGGUGAAGAAAAGAAAAAAAGAAGAUAAAAAGACCUUUUGUCAAGUUUGU